rnacentral:rRNA from 1 species
UUUAAACCCAAAGAAUUUGGCGGUACUUUAUUCCAUUCAGAGGAACCUACCCCGUGAUUGAUAGUACACGAUUAACUUUAAUUAAUUUAUUUNNNNGUAUAUCUCCGUUAUCAGAAAAUCUUUUUAGAGAUUAAAUUUUCAUAAUUUAUUAUUAUAAAAUAUUUCAGGUCAAGGUGCAGUUUAUAAUUAAGAGGAGGUGGGUUACAAUAAAUUUUUGUUUAUUACGGUUAUUUUAAUGAAAUAUUAAAAUUUAAGGUGGAUUUGAUAGUAAAUUAACUUAUUUAAUUUAAUUGAUAAU